GCCCGCUCAGAAACUCAAAGGAAUUGACGGGGCCGCACAAGCGAGGAGCAUGUGGUUAAUUCGAUGAUACGCGAGGAACCUUACCUGGGCUCGAACGUAAGAUGACUGUAGGUGAAAGCUUACAUCUCUUCGGAGCAUUUUACGAGGUGCUGCAUGGUUGUCGUCAGCUCGUGCCGUGAGGUGUCGGGUUAAGUCCCAUAACGAGCGCAACCCCUACCUUUAGUUGCCAUCAGGUAAUGCUGGGGACUCUAAAGGAACUGCCUACGCAAGUAGUGAGGAAGGCGGGGAUGACGUCAAAUCAGCACGGCCCUUACGUCCAGGGCUACACACGUGCUACAAUGGCCGAUACAGAGGGCAGCUACCUGGUGACAGGAUGCAAAUCUCCAAAGUCGGUCUCAGUUCGGAUCGGAGUCUGCAACCCGACUCCGUGAAGUUGGAUUCGCUAGUAAUCGCGCAUCAGCCAUGGCGCGGUGAAUACGUUCCCGGGCCUU
rnacentral:rRNA from 1 species